GACGAACGCUGGCGGCGUGCCUAAUACAUGCAAGUAGAACGCUGAAGGAGGAGCUUGCUCUUCUGGAUGAGUUGCGAACGGGUGAGUAACGCGUAGGUAACCUGCCUGGUAGCGGGGGAUAACUAUUGGAAACGAUAGCUAAUACCGCAUAACAGUAGAUGUUGCAUGACAUUUACUUAAAAGGUGCAAUUGCAUCACUACCAGAUGGCCCUGCGUUGUAUUAGCUAGUUGGUGGGGUAACGGCUCACCAAGGCGACGAUACAUAGCCGACCUGAGAGGGGGAUCGGCCACACUGGGACUGAGACACGGCCCAGACUCCUACGGGAGGCAGCAGUAGGGAAUCUUCGGCAAUGGACGGAAGUCUGACCGAGCAACGCCGCGUGAGUGAAGAAGGGUUUCGGAUCGUAAAGCUCUGUUGUAAGAGAAGAACGAGUGUGAGAGUGGAAAGUUCACACUGUGACGGUAUCUUACCAGAAAGGGACGGCUAACUACGUG
rnacentral:rRNA from 1 species